GGGCCCGCACAAGCGGUGGAGUAUGUGGUUUAAUUCGAUGCAACGCGAAGAACCUUACCAGGGUUUGACAUCCUGCGAAUUUCUGGGAAACCGGAAAGUGCCUUCGGGAGCGCAGUGACAGGUGGUGCAUGGCUGUCGUCAGCUCGUGUCGUGAGAUGUUGGGUUAAGUCCCGCAACGAGCGCAACCCACGUCUUUAGUUGCCAGCAUUUAGUUGGGCACUCUAGAGAGACCGCCGGUGAUAAACCGGAGGAAGGUGUGGAUGACGUCAAGUCAUCAUGCCCCUUACAUCCUGGGCUACACACGUACUACAAUGCUACGGACAAAGAGCAGCAAGUUCGCGAGGACAAGCAAAUCUCAUAAACCGUGGCUCAGUUCAGAUCGUAGGCUGCAACUCGCCUACGUGAAGGAGGAAUCGCUAG
rnacentral:rRNA from 1 species